rnacentral:rRNA from 1 species
UACGUAGGGUGCGAGCGUUGCCCGGAUUUAUUGGGCGUAAAGGGCGCGUAGGCGGUGAGACACGUUCGUUGUGAAAUCGCCCGGCUCAACUGGGCGGGGUCAGCGGAUACGGUCUCACUUGAGCAAGCUAGGGGCAAUGGAAUUCCCGGUGUAGUGGUGGAAUGCGUAGAUAUCGGGAGGAACACCAGUGGCGAAGGCGGUUGCCUGGGGCUUUGCUGACGCUGAUGCGCGAAAGCGUGGGGAGCGAUCCGG